rnacentral:ncRNA from 2 species
AUAUUUGCACAAAAUUAAGGUUGUGUUUUGAUUAACACAUUAAAAAGGGAAUCAAGUAAAAUCUUGAGCUGUACCCGCAACUGUAAGCUUAGUUCUAAAAAAGAAUGCUUGUUGUAAACUGCAAAACCACUGCUCGCCCCCGCGAAUGGGAAGGUAAACAACAAGACGCAAGCCAGGAGACCUGCCUUUGUAACGAAUAUCGA